rnacentral:rRNA from 1 species
GACAGAGGCCUCAAGCGUUAGGCGGAAUCACUGGGCUUAAAGCGUGUGUAGGCGGGUCGUUAAGUGUCUUGUGAAAUCCCACCGCUCAACGGUGGAACUGCUGGGCAUACUGGCGAUCUUGAGCCACCUAGGGGCAGACGGAACAAGCGGUGGAGCGGUGAAAUGCGUAGAUAUCGCUUGGAACGCCGACGGUGAAAACAGUCUGCUGGGGGGUGUGCUGACGCUGAGACACGAAAGCCAGGGGAGCGAACGGG